rnacentral:lncRNA from 1 species
CUCUCUAGGCUUGCUCCAAUGGAGAGAAGAAGAUGAUGAGGAUGAUGAUGAUGAUGAUGAUCCUCUUCUUCUCCUCUAUCUUCUCCUUCUUUUCUUCUCUUUUCCUUUCUUUCUUUUCUUUCCUCUCUUCUUCCCCUUUGUUCCUCUUCCACGAUCGGAGAGAGAGAGAGCGACAGUGAGGGAGAGUGAGGGAGUGAGAGAGAGAGAGAGAGAGAACACCUCUCUAAUAAUCCCCUCUCAUUUGUAACAAAAUGCCAUUAAGUCCCUCAAUUUUUCAUCUCUUAACUAGCCCUCACUAGGCAUUCUGCGCGCGGAGGGACCGGUCUCCCCAACAUGGGACCGGUCCCAGAGGACCUUCCCCGAUUCCUCGCGUUCGGGAACCGGUCUCUCCUUGAGAGACCGGUCCGCCGGAGACCGGUCCGCCCACCAGAGACCGGUCCCCGAGAGCUCAUCUCGCGGGACUUAGCCAAUUUUUAGCUCUUCUCACUAGUGUCACCUGCGAGGACCGGUCCCCCUGCUGCCAAGGACCAGUUGCCUCAGCAACCCCGCAACCCUCAGCUAAUGGGACCGGUCUCUCCCUGCCAGAGACCGGUCCCCGAGAGCAAAACAAGACAAAAUGCAGAUUUGGCAUCUUUGCUCUCGCGGACUCCAUUCCAAUGCACUUUUUGGUUUUCGUGCAUCCAUAACUUUUCCAAAAUUUACCCACUCGACAAUUAGUCGAUUCUGGUCGAAGUGCAACUCUCGAAUUUCGAGAAUUCACAUUGUUACAUUCUCUCCUCCUUAAAAAGAGUUUCGUCCUCGAAACUCACUCAUUCAUAACUCCAAUUCACCCCUCAUUUCAACUCAUUAAUUAAUCGAGGGUUCCAAUGCACUUUCGCACUCCGGAGUGGCCUCUUCCUUAUCGGAAUCAUCCAAAGGCCCACUACGGGAGAUGUGAGACCAAAUUCACUCACAUUUGUCACAUGUAAGUCCAAAAGUGCAUUACCACCAUGCAAGGAACUGCUCUUGCAUUAUACACCCAAUCGAAAAAUUUUACUCCGAUUCGAUCACCAACAUUGCUUAAAACAAUGUCGUUGGUGCAUCGACCAAUCGCGAGUGCUCCAAUCCCAACCGGAUCCUUGCUCUAUCUCAAGAUGGCACACUCUGGCACAUCUCCAAUCUUAAUCCAUAAAAGAGCAUUAUCCAUGUGUCUCCUAGAGACCACUCUGUCACAACCGAUACUAAUCUGCUCAUCUCGGUUCACCACAAGGGGUCCAUAGACCACCAAUCUCACAAAGGCCCAUCGCCUAACCUGUCUCAAUACACGUAACAUCUCUCGCUCGCAAGCGCAGACCCAAUUAUCAUCAGGCGACAUUCUCAUUGGAGAAUUCGCACACACUCCAACCAGGAGCAACCAAGACCCCAAACCACAUCGAAUCCUCGGGUUGGGUCACCACACACACUGUGUGUCGUCAAUCUCAUGAUCCAACACGUGGCAUUCCACGCACUCGGGUCUAAACUCGGACUGCCGUCCUAACCAAAACUCUCCGCCCUACCUAUAGGUAUCGGGCUGCUGUCUUUCACAGCUGACUGCGCCUGCCCAAUGGGCCCAGGCUCCACAGUACACAACUGGUCCAGGCACGAGUUGUCCCCAAGCACUACUCGCCAACAUUGUCCUACACGACGUACUCUACAGAGCUGCACACUCUAUCAGCUCCUAGGCACCUAGUGCGAGCCGCCAGCCCUCACGAGUGAUCUAUGGCCCGCUUCACACUUAGCCUUGCUAAAGUGCUACUGCCAAUUCACUCGACCGGCUGAAUCGAAACCGCACUCUACGAGUAUCUAUACUCGAGCGCUCUACACCUCUACAGCGUCUCACACGAAGUCUAGCAUCAGGCAACUUAGUCUAUGCACACCGACCACACGAGCACAACUCGCCUACCUCAACUCGAGGUACUACUAGGCCCACAGGCCAAACUCGGCUCUAAUCGACCAAUUUCGCAACAGUGGUUCAUCUUCACUUUCGAUCUACCGAAUUCGCAUCCGAAAUACCCUUGGAAUAUUCGGGUGUCCCCAAACAUCAAGGCUCAACUCUCGCGAUCCACUAUCCAUUGCCUUGAGUGUCACUUCACUAUUUCGUGCUCGCCAUGAGUCCUUCCCUUGUUCAAGGAUCAUUACUAGCAUUUUGCUAGGGCCAUCGAGCUCUCAACCUGCUCCAGCAGAUGCCACAAUCUCACAAUGCAAACAUGCUUGGGUAUUUACACUUGCCCUUUAUUGGUCCUACUAUACUAAUGUAUAAAUAGUAGCAACUGACCACUCGUUAAUAUGCAUGCUAUGCAACAACUUGAUAUCAGGAAGCAGCACACGCUUGCUUAAUUAACUCAUACCUGCCAUGGCAUUAUUAGUAGUCGCAGGCUCCUCCACCUGGGUCGCGUAUCCACGGUCACUUGCUGCCCGCUGCGAACCCCUCGGUGGCAUCAUCUUCAACGUCCGCUCUUCCGACCAUGCCGCGGGUGGCACACCCGCAGGCUGUCCCGGAGAAGAAAAGGCCGUUGCCAGUGUCAAGGUCUGGUCAUACCCUUGCGGACACUCGUCCCGUACAUGGCCCGGCUGCCCACAACGAAGGCACCUGCCAUCGCGCAGCACACACCGCCGAGCCCAGUGGGAACCUCCACAAAUCACGCAUCCUGGGGAGGAUCGGUUAGAGGACGACUUCGAGUGACGCCUCGAACUUGAUUGUCCACCCGAAUCGCUCGACCGUGGCUUCAUCCCUCCCCGCUGACGCUCAGAAGACUCGUGCUUCUCACGCACGAAAGCAUCACCGUGCUCUGCCAACAACGCUCGGUCCACUACCUCCGCGAAGGUUGUGAGCCUAAGGAUUUGCACCCUCUCAUAAAUCUCCGGUCGAAGUCCACGUAGGAACCAAUCGGCCAUAUCCUCGUCAUCCCGUACCACAUCCGGGACACAGUUCACGAUACGAGAGAAUUCCUGUUCUUAUUCUCUCACUGAGCGGUCUCCUUGCCGCAGCUUCCUGAACCUGUCCUGAAGCUUUCUCUUUUCAGUAUCGGGGAAGUAAGUCGAAAACACCAAUCCCCGAAACUCCUCCCAAAUCAUAGGAGGGAGACUAGGCGAUCGAUUCCGUCGAAUGCCUUUCCACCACACUUUUGCCGAUAACUUCAAACAGUGCACGGCUAGGGGCACCUUGUCUCGCUCCAAGGUGUACAGUUCCUCGAAGAGCGUUUCCAUUGAGUCAAUCCACAUCUCCAUGAUCCAUGGAUCAACAUUCUCUCCGUCAAAGGUAGGCGGGUCAAACCUCUUGAAGGUCAUAAGGGCCGCCAAAGCUCGCUCUUUCUCCGCCUCUAAUUCCAUAGGACCAGGGGCCACCGCCCCCGAAUCCAUCGUGAUUCCUGUCGGCACAACGUGCGCUGCUACCGGUGCAGCCGCCGCAGCCUGUAGUGCCAACAACUCGUGGAGCUCCUUGAUCUGCUCCUCCUGCCGCAGUACUACGCCCAUGAGCGUACUCAUUUGCUCGCGGAGCACCAGGUCUCCGCUUGCCUCGGACUGCUCAGGGACAUCACCUAUCCCACCCCGCGUCGAUCUAGACGGACGUCGCCUACGCGGUGCCAUCUUUUCCUGAAACAGGGCAACUCGAUUAAUUCUCAACCCUCUAGGUCGAGAACGAAACGACUUAACAUUGACAUAAAUCGGGCGAAAGUCACACAAAGGCGUCUAUUCUCAUCACUCGGUUUCAUAUUGUCGCGCGCCAAACAUGAACACCCUCGGUUGAGAAUAACCACACCUCAAGUCUACCUCCAAUAUCCGUCAUAGAAGUUUCAACACAACCCAAUCAAUGAACCUUUCGCCAUAAGUCACAAGUCCUCGUCUCUCACGAGUCUUAUUCUCCUAUGGUUUGCUAUCCUAGGGUCUCCUAGGUCUGCCUAAACCAUUCCCAUUCUCUGCUUUAUGCUCUGAUACCACCUCUAUCUGUCACGACCCGCGACCACCCGCCUAUUUGGCCGAGGUCGCGACACCGCCAACAGACCGCCGAACGGACAGAGUUUUUCCUGUACGUCCUAGGCGUCGCAAUCAAAACAAUACAAGUGGUUCCGACCAGGAAUAGUAUUCAAUCACAGAUUGCAAAUGGAAAGGUAUCAACAACAUAACACAUCCUAUGGUAUUACAAACAUUCGCCAUAGUUUGCAUUUUACAUUACAUUCAACCUCCAAAUGCAAUUAAGUUAUUACAAUUAAUAUUACAAAUUUAAUACAUUGUGUUCCUUUUCCUUUCUUAUACCCCUAGGCUAUACCGACUCAGGGUACCGCUAUCUCUAGUCUCUGGGGUAGGGCGCUAUCUAUGGAGCUACGCCCUUGCCUCGCGCCGUCGCGCCGCUCACGUGCGAACCUGAAACACCCCAAAACAACGUGGGGUAAGAACCAACUCCAUGGUUCCCAGUGGGUACGGCCACCCAAGGGAAAAGCUCGACCGAUAAGUCCAAGGAGGCACUGCAAUCAUGUUAGUCCAAAAACAUCUACAGAUAUAUAUAUCGUAAUGUAAUUAUGCAACUAACAGAUAACAUGCCUCGGGAUAUGCAAUAUGAAUAUCAUGCAACUAUGCAACUGUAUAAACAACUAGUAGAUAUGUUGAUUCUACGUUCACUUUGCUAACUUUAGCUCAUUUCAUUCAAUUCUAAGGUUUCUAUUACCUUAGGUUCGCAACUCAAGUUCAACUUGCUUCUAAGGUCUCUAUUACCUUAGAUUCUUGCCUCGAUCACUAUCUUAUAAGGUUUACAUUAACCUAAUCAAGCUAACCACCCGACUCGGCCUCGAGUCAAUCAUCUGUGGAUAGUCCGCGCACUAGCUGCAACUCAGCCUGGCUGCCGUCGCAGCCUACCGAAAAUCUGACUUAACCAUCUGGCGGCGAACUCAUCGCAUAGAAUCCAACAACAACUCAAGUCAUGAUUUAGCCAUCUGGCGGCGAACUUAUCGCACCUCACCCAACAAUGGUUCCAGUAAUGACUUAGUCGUCUGGCUGUGACCACAUCGCUCUUACCCAACAAGGUUCAAGUCAAUCUAGGCGGUAUCAUCCGAUAAGCGAAUGGGCGAGGAGAACCACACAUACCCAAUUCCAGCUUCUUCUAAUGGCAUCUCGGGCGAGGAGAACCACACAUACCUGUUGAAUCAAUGCCAGGCGAGGAGAACCACACAUACCUGCAGUUAGGAUUCACUUGCCAUCUCUUUCACCACAAUUUCCACCGCUUUUUUUGCGGCUACAUCACUUGGGAUUCCGGAAUCCAUUUCACAACUCAAGGGUUGGUCUCAAACCCUAUAUUAUUGACCUAUCUAGGUCCAAUGUCCUGUUCACCCUAGGUCCAACUGACUCUAGGUUCAAUGCCUCUAUCACAUAACCUAGGUUUCUUUUAACUCUAGGUUCAAUCCAUAACCUAUGUUCACGACACUAGGUUAAUGCCACACACCUAGAUUUAGUUAACUCUAGGUUCAUUCUCAACCUAUAUUCUUUAACACUAGGUUAGAUGCCACUCGACCUAUGUUUAAAAACACUAGGUUCAUUAUCAUUCAUGUUUAACCUAUGUUUAAUACACUAGGUUAAGUGCCACUCGAUCUAUUCGACAUCCUAAUUGUCCACAUCAAGUUCAACAGAUAUCCACAUUUUAUCUAGCAUGCAUUAUAUGAUGCCAACAUGCAUAUUCCUUCUAACAUGAUCUACAACAUGUUAACAUUCAUGUUUUAGCUAGCAUAUUUGCAUUAUGUCAUUAACAUGCAUUCUUUACAAUAUGCUCACAUGCGUUAUUUAGCAUUAUUUACAUGCAUCAUCUACAUGCAUCAUCUAGCAUUUUUAUAACAUGCUCAUCGUGCAUUUUAUGGUAGUCAUAGCAUAGCAAUUAACAUGCAUUCACCUAGUAUUUAACCCUUGCAUUCAUCUACCAUUUAUAUGCAUCAAUAUGAAACUACGUUUCUCUUAGAUAUAAGGGCGACCUAGUCGCUUCGGUAAGCACAACCCACCUUAGCUAGCUUUCUGAUUGCUCGUCGACACUUGCAAUCGGCCUCCCGCGGCACUCGGCAACCGUUUGGGCCCAAUCUCACAGUCGCUCUCCAAGAGCGCGCCGCUUCGCCGUUUCAAGUGUUAAAGGUCUUCGCCUCGCCGUUACGGUGCUCGGGACCCGAUUUCAUGAUUUAUGGACGUCGCCUCGGCCUUCCAGGCGGAAACGAAGCUCCAAGCGUCCGUUUCUUUAAUAUCUUUACAACGGCUUGUCGGAUUGCCGAACCGACUUCGCCAACGUGUUUCGUUACCUAUCAAUUAGGUUUACAGAGGGUCAAAUGAGAUCAAACCCUCCCAAAUCACGAAAUUCCAUUUUGGAUGCCCUAGAUGCUAUUACUACCAAAUCCACCAAAUCGAUCCAUGAAAUGGGGAAAAACCAUCUAAAUAGCAUGCUAGGAUUCCCUUCAAACCAACCUUAGAGAUCAAAAACCUAUCUCUAAGGAUCUACCAUGAGAGAGCACCAAACUUACCUCUCUAGGCUUGCUCCAAUGGAGAGAAGAAGAUGAUGAGGAUGAUGAUGAUGAUGAUGAUCCUCUUCUUCUCCUCUAUCUUCUCCUUCUUUUCUUCUCUUUUCCUUUUUUUCUUUUCCUUCCUCUCUUCUUCCCCUUUUUUCCUCUUCCACGAUCGAAGAGAGAGAGAGCGACAGUGAGGGAGAGUGAGGGAGUGAGAGAGAGAGAGAGAGAGAGAGAGAACACCUCUCUAAUAAUCCCCUCUCAUUUGUAACA